GACGAACGCUGGCGGCGUGCUUAACACAUGCAAGUCGAACGAAGAGCGAUGGAAGCUUGCUUCUAUCAAUCUUAGUGGCGAACGGGUGAGUAACGCGUAAUCAACCUGCCCUUCAGAGGGGGACAACAGUUGGAAACGCCUGCUAAUACCGCAUACGAUCUAAUCUCGGCAUCGAGGAUAGAUGAAAGGUGGCCUCUACAUGUAAGCUAUCACUGAAGGAGGGGAUUGCGGCUGAUUAGCUAGUUGGAGGGGUAACGGCCCACCAAGGCGAUGAUCAGUAGCCGGUCUGAGAGGAUGAACGGCCACAUUGGGACUGAGACACGGCCCAGACUCCUACGGGAGGCAGCAGUGGGGAAUCUUCCGCAAUGGACGAAAGUCUGACGGAGCAACGCCGCGUGAGUGAUGACGGCCUUCGGGUUGUAAAGCUCUGUUAAUCGGGACGAAAGGCCUUCUUGCGAAUAGUGAGAAGGAUUGACGGUACCGGAAUAGAAAGCCACGGCUAACUACGUG
rnacentral:rRNA from 1 species